CGACGGUGAAAGCAGAGCUUGCUCUGUGGAUCAGUGGCGAACGGGUGAGUAACACGUGAGCAAUCUGCCCCUGACUCUGGGAUAAGCGCUGGAAACGGCGUCUAAUACCGGAUACGAGCUGCGAAGGCAUCUUCAGCAGCUGGAAAGAAUUUCGGUCAGGGAUGAGCUCGCGGCCUAUCAGCUUGUUGGUGAGGUAACGGCUCACCAAGGCGUCGACGGGUAGCCGGCCUGAGAGGGUGACCGGCCACACUGGGACUGAGACACGGCCCAGACUCCUACGGGAGGCAGCAGUGGGGAAUAUUGCACAAUGGGCGAAAGCCUGAUGCAGCAACGCCGCGUGAGGGACGACGGCCUUCGGGUUGUAAACCUCUUUUAGCAGGAAAGAAGCGAAAGUGACGGUACCUGCAGAAAAAGCGCCGGCUAACUACGUGCCAGCAGCCGCGGUAAUACGUAGGGCGCAAGCGUUAUCCGGAAUUAUUGGGCGUAAAGAGCUCGUAGGCGGUCUGUCGCGUCUGCUGUGAAAACCCGAGGCUCAACCUCGGGCCUGCAGUGGGUACGGGCAGACUAGAGUGCGGUAGGGGAGAUUGGAAUUCCUGGUGUAGCGGUGGAAUGCGCAGAUAUCAGGAGGAACACCGAUGGCGAAGGCAGAUCUCUGGGCCGUAACUGACGCUGAGGACGAAAGG
rnacentral:rRNA from 1 species